AAAAGUUAACUAUUGUAUGUAGUUGGAACAGCGCCCCUAGCGGCAAACAUAAGCAAACGUUCCAACUCCAUACAAAUUUGAGUUA
rnacentral:pre_miRNA from 1 species